CAAACUGCAAAGCACGAGCCGGAUAGCAGAAUACUUUGUGAACAUUUAAAAGUUUGAAUCAUGUCUGUAGGUGAAAGUAUGAAGGAGCUGAACAUUU